GGUUUCAUAUCUCAGUUUGUGGAGCAUCGCAAUAGUAACGCGGAGGUCAUGGGUUCAAAUCCCGUUGAAGCCA